rnacentral:rRNA from 1 species
GACGUAGGGCGCGAGCGUUGUCCGGAUUUAUUGGGCGUAAAGAGCUCGUAGGCGGCUUGUCGCGUCGACUGUGAAAACCCGCGGCUCAACUGCGGGCUUGCAGCCGAUACGGGCAGGCUAGAGUUCGGUAGGGGAGACUGGAAUUCCUGGUGUAGCGGUGAAAUGCGCAGAUAUCAGGAGGAACACCGGUGGCGAAGGCGGGUCUCUGGGCCGAUACUGA